UUAAAAGCUUUAAUAAAAGCUACAAAUUUAGCCAAUAAAAAAAUAU
rfam:Clostridium fallax strain DSM 2631 genome assembly, contig: Ga0131101_105